AAAACGUCCAUGCUUCCAGUGUUAUCACAAAAAGCAAUCUGAUUAAACCUCAGGAAACUGUCGAGAUUCUUCCAGGUUUCAUUAGGGCAUGGGAGUUAUUUUUACAACACAUGGCACUGCUACAUUUGAAAUAGGUUACCAAGAAAACAAAUGUAUUUCUGUCAUGUGUUCAAUAACCUUCCCCCACUCAUGGUAUGUUAUGCUACAGACAACCUCUCCAAUGGCCUCCAGUGAUUCACACCCCUGUAUAAUCCCUGCCUGCCCCCUGAACAUGGCGAGACCUAGUGGCCUCAUUCUGACAAAAAGAAUACAGCAAAACCCAGUGUGAUGUCACUUCCAAGAUUAGGUCACAAAGAGACCGGAGCUUCCAUGUUAUGCAUCCUCCCUUGCUCUUUCUGGUGGACACCAGCUGCCCCAUAUAGAGAGAUCCAUGUGGUCAGGAACCACUAUCUGUUGCCAACAGUACACAAGGGCCAGUCACUGCUAACAGCCAGGUCAGUCACCUUGGAAGUGAUCCUCCUUCAGUCCAACACUGAAAUGACUACAGCCCCUGAUGACACCUAGACUCAGCUUGAGAGAGACCCUGAACCAGCAAACUCCGCUAGGCUGCAUCCAGAUUCUUGACCCACAGAAAUUGGGAGAUCAUAACCGAUGUUUGAAACCACUAAGUUUGGGGUACUUUAUUACACAUCAACAGGCAGCCACCUACAAUCAACUGGAAUGGGCAACCAAGAUAAAGCCCUUUGUCCUCAGGCUCCGGUCUGUCACAAAAGUGUCAUCACCUCUGUCAACUAAUGAGGCCCAGAAUCAGCUUCUUCAAGACCUUGGCUCCCUUACUCUCUUCUCUGCUUUACUUUAAAAGUCUAACUACACUGGGGCAGUAAGAACACACAAAAAAAUUUGUGUUUUGAUUUCUAGAUAAACCUCACCUUUGCUCUCUCGGCAAAAGAUCCCUCAUUACUUUAUCAUUGUGGAAAUACUUAUCCGUGACCAGAAUUUUAUGUAAAUUCCUUAUUUCAUCACUGUUCAGCCACUUUCAAAUCUCACUUGCAAUGUUCCUUCUUUGUUCCCUUCUUCAAAAAUAUUCAUCUCUUCCUCUAGAAAGUCUACAAUAGUCUCCCUUGGUCAGGAUGUUUUAUAACUCACCUAGAAACAUGAAUAAAAGAUUGGCCUCCUUAA